CUGAUUCCAUGCCGAACUCAGUAGUGAAACGCGACCGCGCCGAUGAUAGUGUGGCAGCUGCCAUGUGAAAGUAGGUCACUGCCAGGC
rnacentral:rRNA from 1 species